AUUGAACGCUGGCGGCAGGCCUAACACAUGCAAGUCGAACGGUAACAGGAAACAGCUUGCUGUUUCGCUGACGAGUGGCGGACGGGUGAGUAAUGUCUGGGAAACUGCCUGAUGGAGGGGGAUAACUACUGGAAACGGUAGCUAAUACCGCAUAACGUCGCAAGACCAAAGAGGGGGACCCUCGGGCCUCUUGCCAUCGGAUGUGCCCAGAUGGGAUUAGCUUGUUGGUGGGGUAACGGCUCACCAAGGCGACGAUCCCUAGCUGGUCUGAGAGGAUGACCAGCCACACUGGAACUGAGACACGGUCCAGACUCCUACGGGAGGCAGCAGUGGGGAAUAUUGCACAAUGGGCGCAAGCCUGAUGCAGCCAUGCCGCGUGUAUGAAGAAGGCCUUCGGGUUGUAAAGUACUUUCAGCGGGAGGAAGGGAGUAAAGUUAAUACCUUUGCUCAUUGACGUUACCCGCAGAAGAAGCACCGGCUAACUCCGUG
rnacentral:rRNA from 1 species